rnacentral:rRNA from 1 species
UACAGAGGGGGCAAGCGUUGUUCGGAAUUACUGGGCGUAAAGGGCGCGUAGGCGGCCUGUUAAGUCGAACGUGAAAUCCCUGGGCUCAACCCAGGAACUGCGUCCGAUACUGGCAGGCUUGAAUCCGGGGGAGGGAUGUGGAAUUCCAGGUGUAGCGGUGAAAUGCGUAGAUAUCUGGAGGAACACCGGUGGCGAAGGCGGCAUCCUGGACCAUUACUGACGCUGAGGCGCGAAAGCUAGGGGAGCAAACGGG